GAGGCGCGCGUGCGCAGACGGGCCCGCAAACUACGAUACCCAGAAUCCCCCGCGCCUCAGGCCUCCAUUUCCCAGAUGCCUUCGAGGCGCGCUGGCUCACAUUCUGGCCUCGGCUGCACGCAGCUCGGGGAAGCGUUCCGAUCUUUUUUUAGUAGGGAUCAACAUGGCUUUAGAUCAGCCGGGAGCGACCUUUGAGGUUAUCUAGACCAUCCCCUGCUUCAUACGAAAAAGGAAACUGAGGCCCAGAGAAGGAAAGCGACUUCGCCAAGUUUCAGAGUCUCGCAUUCUUGCAAAAGGUUUCCUUCCUGAACCCCAGGGGUUCACCUCUGAACCCCAGGACACUAAUGGUGAUGAAAGAUGCUCAUUUGACCACUUGACAGGCAUGGCCACUGAGGCAUGAAGGGCUUUGGAAGAGAAAACAAGAAUCCAGGACCUGAGGAACUAAAGAGUUCCACCAGGAGAAGGGGCAUGGAACUUUGCAAUUAGCUGCUGAUCUCUGUUAAUCUGGUCUUCAUGUUCAAGCCAAUCAGGCAUCAUGCUGUCUCCUCAGAUUAUAUGUUUAGGAAUGGGGAGGAGCAGGACGCUUGCAGAGAGAAUGAAACAUGAAACCCUGAAUUCUCAGGCAGCAAAGAAUUUAUGUGCCUAAGGGAGAACAAGUGCCCUUUUGGUAGGACACGUGACGGAUGAUUCAUUCAAGAGUUCCUUUCAUCUGAACUUGGGUGGAAAGGGCUGAGUAGUGCUGCUGCUGCAUACUCAGAGGUUGUCAGCAAGAGGACUGCUGCAAACAACUGAAGCUUGGAAAUACAGCAGGAGUCAGAGACAGAAACAUCCAUGGCUCCCUACCACAUCAGAAGAUAUCAAGACCACGACUGGCAGACUGUGAGGGAAAUAGUCUCUCAAGGAUUGCUGAAUAAUGCGCCUUCUGACUUCUGGCAUAUGCUGAUAAAGCCAAGAACCUUCCUGGUUCUCCUGGGAGUCCCCUUUGCCCUAAUCUUGGCCUCUGGCUCCAUCCUUUUAUCUCUGUUGUCUUUCCUUGGACUCUUAGCUGGUCAGUGGCUGACUUUUCGGCAUCUUGUUAUAAAAUUCAUAGAUAAUUUCUUGCGUACUGAUCUGUUGGACAUACAGAAAUCCUACCUGAGUUCAAGAGGUUCGAGUUUUUUUGUAUCAGAGUCAGAGAAUCAGGUAGUAGGCACUGUGGGUGCCCGUCCAGCAAAGACACCGAUUGGAAGAGGGAAGUAUCUGGAAUUGCAACGCUUGUCUGUGAAGAAGAGUCAUCAAGGCCAAGGAAUAGCCAGGGCUUUGAUCCAGACUGUGAUCCAGUUUGCCCAGGACCAGGGAUAUGAUGGAGUACUCCUUGAGACAGCCGGCUCCAAUCACCGAGCUCAGCGACUUUAUGAGAGUCUUGGCUUCUGGAAAUUCCAUGAAUCAGGGUGCUACUUAAAAUGGAGGCUAGCUUUCUUCCCAGUUUGGCAUUACCGAUGUGACAUUUCUUCCCGUUCAUGACUGUCCCUUGCCCCAGGCCAUCCAUGUCUCUUGUCUGGCAUGGGUUUGAUUGCAGCAUGCUGUGCUUAUUAAAGGCUCUUGAUUUUCCCACCA